UACGAAGGGGGCUAGCGUUGCUCGGAAUCACUGGGCGUAAAGGGUGCGUAGGCGGGGCUUUAAGUCAGGGGUGAAAUCCUGGAGCUCAACUCCAGAACUGCCUUUGAUACUGAGGAUCUUGAGUUCGGGAGAGGUGAGUGGAACUGCGAGUGUAGAGGUGAAAUUCGUAGAUAUUCGGAAGAACACCAGUGGCGAAGGCGGCUCACUGGUCCGGUACUGACGCUGAGGUGCGAAAGCGUGGGGAGCAAACAGG
rnacentral:rRNA from 1 species